AGCAGUCGCCGCGGGAAAACGGAGGGUGCAAGCGUUACUCGGAAUCACUGGGCGUAAAGGACGCGUAGGCGGAUUAUCAAGUCUCUUGUGAAAUCUAACGGCUUAACCGUUAAACUGCUUGGGAAACUGAUAAUCUAGAGUAAGGGAGAGGCAGAUGGAAUUCUUGGUGUAGGGGUAAAAUCCGUAGAUAUCAAGAAGAAUACCUAUUGCGAAGGCGAUCUGCUGGAACUUAACUGACGCUAAUGCGUGAAAGCGUGGGGAGCAAACAGGAUUAGAUACCCCCGUAGUCCCUGUCUCUUAUAC
rnacentral:rRNA from 1 species